rnacentral:rRNA from 1 species
GGGGGAAAAAGAAUUACCAUGCAUUUUUUACGAUGAACCGGUUUCGGCCGGGGAUUACUGGCGAACGGGUGAGUAACACGUGGGAAAUCUGCCACUGCACUCUGGGACAAGCCCUGGAAACGGGGUCUAAUACCGGAUACUGACCUUCACGGGCAUCCGUGGGGGUCGAAAGCUCCGGCGGUGCAAGAUGAGCCCGCUGCCUAUCAGCUUGGUGGUGAGGUAAUGGCUCACCAAGGCGACGACGGGUAGCCGGCCUGAUAGGGCGACCGGCCACACUGGUUACUGAUACACGGCCCAGACUCCUACGGUAAGGCAGCAGUGGGGAAUAUUGCACAAUGGGCGGAAGCCUGAUGCAUCGACGCCGCGGGAGGGAUGACGGCCUUCGGGUUGUAAACCUCUUUCAGCAGGGAAUAAGCGAAAGUGACGGUACCUGCAGAAGAAGCGCCGGCUAACUACGUGCCAGCAGCCGCGGUAAUACGUAUGGCGCAAGCGUUGUCCGGAAUUAUUGGCACGUAAAGAGCUCGUAAGCUUGCUUGUCCCGUCGGUUGUGAAAACCCGGGGCUUAACCCCGGGUCUGCAGUCUAUACGGGUAGGCUAAAAUUCGGUAGGGGAUAUCGGAAUUCCUGGUGUACCGUUGAAAUGCACACAUAUCAGGAAGAACACCGGUGGCCAAAGUGGAUCUCUGGACCAAUACUGACGCUGAAGACGAGCC